UCCGGUGGUCAAAACGGAGGGGAAACACCUGUUACCAUUCCGAACACAGAAGUUAAGCCUUCCAGUGCCGAUGAUACUACUUGUUUGUCCUGUGGGAAAGUAGGUCGCCGCCGGAU
rnacentral:rRNA from 1 species